rnacentral:rRNA from 1 species
UGGAUCCAGACUUUGAUCAUGGCUCAGGAUGAACGCUAGCUACAGGCUUAACACAUGCAAGUCGAGGGGCAGCGAUGAAGAAAGCUUGCUUUCUUCAGGCGGCGACCGGCGCACGGGUGAGUAACGCGUAUCGAACCUGCCUCAUACUCAGGAAUAGCCUUGCGAAAGUAAGAUUAAUGCCCGAUGUUAUUAGGAUAUCACAUGAUGUUCUAAUUAAAGAUUUAUCGGUAUGAGAUGGCGAUGCGUCCCAUUAGCUUGUUGGCGGGGUAACGGCCCACCAAGGCAUCGAUGGGUAGGGGUUCUGAGAGGAAGGUCCCCCACAUUGGAACUGAGACACGGUCCAAACUCCUACGGGAGGCAGCAGUGAGGAAUAUUGGUCAAUGGACGCAAGUCUGAACCAGCCAAGUAGCGUGCAGGAAGACGGCCCUCUGGGUUGUAAACUGCUUUUAGUUGGGAAUAAAGUGCACCACGAGUGGUGUUUUGUAUGUACCAUCAGAAAAAGGACCGGCUAAUUCCGUGCCAGCAGCCGCGGUAAUACGGAAGGUCCAGGCGUUAUCCGGAUUUAUUGGGUUUAAAGGGAGCGCAGGCGGACCUUUAAGUCAGCUGUGAAAUACGGCGGCUCAACCGUCGAACUGCAGUUGAUACUGGAGGUCUUGAGUGCACACAGGGAUACUGGAAUUCAUGGUGUAGCGGUGAAAUGCUCAGAUAUCAUGAAGAACUCCGAUCGCGAAGGCAGGUAUCCGGGGUGCAACUGACGCUGAGGCUCGAAAGUGCGGGUAUCAAACAGGAUUAGAUACCCUGGUAGUCCGCACAGUAAACGAUGAAUACUCGCGAUUUGCGAUACACAGUAAGUCGCCAAGCGAAAGCGUUAAGUAUUCCACCUGGGGA